ensembl:Mt_tRNA
GACCCUGUAGUGAAGUUCAUGAUGAGUUGCAAACUCAUAGAUGUAUACGAGGUAUGCCGGGGUCU